UACGUAGGCAGCAAGCGUUGUUCGGAAUUACUGGGCGUAAAGAGUGUGUAGGCGGUGCUCUAAGUUUGGUGUGAAAUCUCCCGGCUCAACUGGGAGGGUGCGCCGAAAACUGGAAUGCUUGAACGUGGGAGAGGAAAGCGGAAUUCCUGGUGUAGCGGUGAAAUGCGUAGAUAUCGGAAGGAACACCAGUGGCGAAAGCGGCUUCCUGGUCCGACACCGACGUUCAGGCACGAAAGCGUGGGGAGCAAACAGG
rnacentral:rRNA from 1 species